rnacentral:piRNA from 1 species
UAAGCCAUGCACCUAGAAGCCAAGGACUCU